rnacentral:rRNA from 1 species
AGAGUUUGAUCCUGGCUCAGGAUGAACGCUAGCGGCAGGCUUAAUACAUGCAAGUCGAGGGGCAGCGGGAGUAGCAAUACUUGCCGGCGACCGGCGCACGGGUGCGUAACACGUAUACAAUCUACCCUUUACAGGGGGAUAGCCCUCCGAAAGGAGGAUUAAUACCCCAUAAUAAAUUGAAUGGCAUCAUUUGAUUUUGAAAGAUUUAUCGGUAAAGGAUGAGUAUGCGUCUGAUUAGCUAGUUGGAGAGGUAACGGCUCCCCAAGGCGACGAUCAGUAGGGGAUCUGAGAGGACUACCCCCCACACUGGUACUGAGACACGGACCAGACUCCUACGGGAGGCAGCAGUAAGGAAUAUUGGUCAAUGGAGGCAACUCUGAACCAGCCAUGCCGCGUGCAGGAAGACGGCCCUAUGGGUUGUAAACUGCUUUUGUACGGGAGAAAACCCUUUCACGUGUGGGAGGUUGAUAGUACCGUAAGAAUAAGCAUCGGCUAACUUCGUG